GUACGUGAAACCGUUCAGGGGUAAACCUGAGAAACCCAAAAGAUCGAAUGGGGAGAUUCAUCGUCAGCGAUUUUGGUACGUGUGCGGUCUCGCGAUGCCGGAGACUUCGGUCUCCGGGCACGCGUCCGCAUGUUUAUUGCCUCAAUCGUCGGCGUGCACUUCUCCCCUAGUAGGACGUCGCGACCCGUUGGGUGUCGGUCUACGGCCCGGGCGGUAGCCUGUCUCGUGUGCGCUUCACGGCGUUUCGCGGUUCAGACCCCUGGUUGCCCGACCGGCUGCUCGGCGGUACUCGCACGGUAUCUGGCCGCAAAUAUUUGAACUGCGUCCGGCCUGUCGCAAGCUUGGCAAGUGUUCCCGGUUGUACGGAUCUAAUGCCGUCACCGGGCCUUGCCGGCUGUUGGUUGACGGUGUCCUGGGACUGGCUAAUUAAUUAUGAUACCGGUCGGCGACGCUACUGCUUUGGGUACUUUCAGGACCCGUCUUGAAACACGGACCAAGGAGUCUAACAUGUGCGCGAGUCAUUGGGAACUAUUAAGCCUAAAGGCGCAAUGAAAGUGAAGGUCGGCCUUGCGCCAACCGAGGGAGGAUGGGCCGCGUCACGAUGCGGUCCCGCACUCCCGGGGCGUCUCGUUCUCAUUGCGAGAAGAGGCGCACCCAGAGCGUACACGUUGGGACCCGAAAGAUGGUGAACUAUGCCUGGUCAGGACGAAGUCAGGGGAAACCCUGAUGGAGGUCCGUAGCGAUUCUGACGUGCAAAUCGAUCGUCGGAACUGGGUAUAGGGGCGAAAGACUAAUC
rnacentral:rRNA from 1 species